UACGUAGGUGGCAAGCGUUGUCCGGAGUUAUUGGGCGUAAAGCGCGCGCAGGCGGUUGGAUAAGUCCAUGGUGAAAGCGCCUGGCUCAACUAGGCGAGUGCCGUGGGGACUGUUCAGCUGGAGUGGAGCAGAGGCGAGUGGAAUUCCGGGGUGUAGUGGUGAAAUGCGUAGAGAUCCGGAGGAACACCAGAGGCGAAGGCGGCUCGCUGGGCUUUGACUGACGCUGAGGCGCGAAAGCGUGGGGAGCGAACCGG
rnacentral:rRNA from 1 species